GGCUGAUAAAAAGACAUGAAUGUUGGAUUGGCAUUGUCUAGAAACAUGUAUACUGUAGCUAUGUCUGUUGUCAUUACACUCAAAACAAAUUCAAAUUCAUGCAUGGGUAUGUUAUAACUGGUUUACUUUAAUUAUUUAGCACUUGAGUAAUAGACAAUUAAUGAAGACACAAUCACGUCACUGAGUGGCGGAUAUCAGGGAAUCAGGGAUGGACCAGCAUGGUCUAGUAAGGAGAGGGGGGGGGGGUCUGUAUUCUGGCAAUUUGGCAAAACAGCCUCCAUGCGGUGCAAGUGUACAACUGAGUUACUGAGUAGCUAGUUCACCUAGUUGUAGCCUUGUAGACACUGCAGCAAGGCACUGAUUGCUAGUCUUGCUUCACUAUUGUAUUUGAAUUAUAAUUGUUGUUCACAGUUCGCUUAUCAACAUGUUAGUAUUCAAAUUACUGUAUUUCAUUCAUCAUCCGCCCCCCCCCCCAGGAAAUUCAUCCCUGGCGGAUAUAGUAACUGUUGGCAAUGAUGCCUAGUUUCAGGGUGUUAGCCAGGCGGCCGCAUAUUUUCUUUAAAUAGCAAUUUACAUGUUUUGUAAUAUUUCUUGAAUACUUCGAAUUGUUGUCAUCUGCUGUUUACUUUACAUAUGGUGUAUGUUUUUAUAUUUUCCCCAAUCGAAAACAUGUUGAAUGUGGCUGAAUUGAAGUAUGGACAAAUGCGCCAUGUUUUUGUAACCAUGUUGAUGAUUCUCACAUUCUCACAUGAAGUAUCAAGGAGGAUAAUUUGAAACCGCUGUUUUAAAAAAAGCAAUCGCUUUAUUGCUCGAGCUCCACAUGCUAGUUUAGAGUUAUAGUUAAACACUGCUGUAUUGUGUUUUUCAUUAUACAUCGUAGUGAUCAUACGGUUCAUACCAUGUGUGUGCUUUUACUAAUUUUAUGAUGGAAAUGUGCAUCUGAAAGUAAAAAGUUCAACGAAUAGAACACCACAAUAACAAAAAAUUGCAGCCACGCUGCAAUUUUUAGUUAUUAUUAUUACUAUUACAAUAUUAUUGACUUAUUAGAUCACAAUAUCUUAAUUUGUGAAUUAAAACAAUUGGAUAUUCCAUUUGUGCUAUUGGGUUGGAUAUCUGCCUUUUUCACAGACCAAACACAAGCAGUCAGAGUUGAUUUAUCUGAACACUUUUAGCACCAUUGCAUUUUCACCAGAAAAUAUUGCCCAUGUAUCCGUUGCUUUAAGGAUCAUCAAAACUUAUCAGAAAACAUUGUCAUGUUAAAAGUUGUUUUUUCUCCCUAGGCUGAUAAAAAGACAUGAAUGUUAGAUUGGCAUUGUCUAGAAACAUUGUGUAUAGCUAUGUCUGUUGUCAUUGCACUUAAUACGAAUUGAAAUUCAUACAUGGGUACGUUAUAACUGGCUUCCUUUAGUUAUUUAGCACUAGUGUAAUAGAUAACUCAACCUCGUCGGGACGAAGGUGUAUAUACUACAGUAACUGCGAACUUCUGUAGAUAAUACAAUCACCAGAAAAAUAUGAAAACAGCCUGAAAGCAUUUGAAUGAUAGAUGACUAAGUGUGUAACAAAGCCGUAAUAAUAAUUUUAAGCCAUUGGUAGGCUACAAAUGGCACUAUAUUUCACGUAAUUUAACGCAAACAAGUUUCAAGAACUAAGAUUUCCAACUACAAAUGAUGGUCACGUACAUAUGUGUCUUGGCAACCUAAUCGCCCCUCCCCCCACUACAAUACCUGUACAUUUAUAGUAAAAGCUUGCUCGUUUUGGUCUUCUUGUAAUUUUGAAAAUCGGUGGAAGCAACCAGAGGCUGAAUUUAAGGUCACACACUGAACAUUUUCCGACCAAAUGCUAUAAAUUGUUUGGAUAUUUUGGCUGAUAUUAACAAUCAGUUUUCUUGAAAGAAUGCUUUAACCAUAAGCUGCGUCCAACCUCCUAUUGUUAAAUUUCUUAGCAUUUUUACUUCACUGUAUGAAUUAUUAUUUAUCGAUGUGAUUGACGAAGUGGAGGCCUGGAGACCAAGGCUACAUUUACACUGUACCAGAUAGGUUUCCAUAGCGACGUGAAAAAACACCUACUGUAUCUGUAGCAUUUAGGAACGCUAUUGUCAGAUGAAAUAUUGUAAUGGAGAGAUGUUGUUUCACUCUGCUUCUGAAAGUUGUACAUUCCAUAUCAGAUAGGUUCCUUUUCGCGCCACUACGGACAGCUAUCAAGUAAAGUGGAUAUAGUAGCGUAAACGAAACGGGAAACUGUCCCACCAUAUUGGAAAGUUUCCAAUCAUAUUUCGUUUUGGUUGGACUUUUUCCCUACAACUUUUGGGCGUUAUUUCAGGUUCUUUACAAUCUUGUUGAAUUUUUAUUUUCUUUCAGGGAUUGUUGUUUUUGUCCACAUUGGAAACGAAAAAUUGGAUUUGAUUUGCAUAACUGUAUGUUUGAGAAGAUUGAAGCUCGUUGUAAAUACUUGGGAGGAAACAAUACGAACUAAGGUUUGAACAAAGUUGAGGUAAAAGAUUUUUGCUUCUCUACUGAUGUUCACAUGGCAAUGUUAUAAAAAUCUCGUGUCUGUUUGUUGACAAGCUGCAGCUUCUUCAGCAACUUGUUCACGCUUUCUUUCUUGUUCGUCUUAAUCUUUAAUUGUGCCGUGCAAUCUUGUUCGUCGCUGUUUUUUCUAUAAUUGUGUUUAUCCUACAAGUCAGGCCUGGCG